rnacentral:rRNA from 1 species
CCCAGCAGCCGCGGUAAAUACGUAGGUUGCAAGCGUUCUCCGGAAUUAUUGGGCCGUAAAGCGCGCGCAGGGCGGUUUCUUAAGUCUGAUGUGAAAGCCCCCGGCUCAACCGGGGAGGGUCAUUGGAAACUGGGGAACUUGAGUGCAGAAGAGGAGAGUGGAAUUCCCACGUGUAGCGGUGAAAUGCGUAGAGAUGUGGAGGAACACCAGUGGCGAAGGCGACUCUCUGGUCUGUAACUGACGCUGAGGCGCGAAAGCGUGGGGAGCGAACAGGAUUAGAUACCCUGGUAGUCCACGCCGUAAACGAUGAGUGCUAAGUGUUAGAGGGUUUCCGCCCUUUAGUGCUGCAGCAAACGCAUUAAGCACUCCGCCUGGGGAGUACGGUCGCAAGACUGAAACUCAAAGGAAUUGACGGGGGCCCGCACAAGCGUAGGAGCAUGUGGUUUAAUUCGAAGCAACGCGAAGAACCUUACCAGGUCUUGACAUCCUCUGACAACCCUAGAGAUAGGGCUUCCCCUUCGGGGGCAGAGUGACAGGUGGUGCAUGGUUGUCGUCAGCUCGUGUCGUGAGAUGUUGGGUUAAGUCCCGCAACGAGCGCAACCCUUGAUCUUAGUUGCCAGCAUUCAGUUGGGCACUCUAAGGUGACUGCCGGUGACAAACCGGAGGAAGGUGGGGAUGACGUCAAAUCAUCAUGCCCCUUAUGACCUGGGCUACACACGUGCUACAAUGGGCAGAACAAAGGGCAGCGAAGCCGCGAGGCUAAGCCAAUCCCACAAAUCUGUUCUCAGUUCGGAUCGCAGUCUGCAACUCGACUGCGUGAAGCUGGAAUCGCUAGUAAUCGCGGAUCAGCAUGCCGCGGUGAAUACGUUCCCGGGCCUUGUACACACCGCCCGUCACACCACGAGAGUUUGUAACACCCGAAGUCGGUGAGGUAACCUUUUGAGCCAGCCCGCCGAAAGGGGACCGGC